UACGUAGGGGGCAAGCGUUGUCCGGAUUUAUUGGGCGUAAAGAGUGUGUAGGCGGCUUUACAGGUCUGUUGUGAAAACUCGAGGCUCAACCUCGAGACGCCGGUGGAAACCGUAAAGCUAGAGUCCGGAAGAGGAGAGUGGAAUUCCUGGUGUAGCGGUGAAAUGCGCAGAUAUCAGGAGGAACACCCGUGGCGAAAGCGGCUCUCUGGGACGGUACUGACGCUGAGACGCGAAAGCGUGGGGAGCAAACAGG
rnacentral:rRNA from 1 species